rnacentral:rRNA from 1 species
UCCUACGGGGCGCAGCAGUGGGGGAUAUUGCACAAUGGGGGGAACCCUGAUGCAGCGACGCCGCGUGGGUGAAGGAGCGUUUCGGCGCGUAAAGCCCUAUCGGCAGGGAAGAAGGAGGACGGUACCUGGCUAAGAAGCCCCGGCUAACUACGUGCCAGCAGCCGCGGUAAUACGUAGGGGGCAAGCGUUAUCCGGAUUUACUGGGUGUAAAGGGAGCGCAGGCGGCACGGCAAGCCUGAUGUGAAAGCCCGCGGCCCAACCGCGGGACUGCAUUGGGAACUACCGGGCUGGAGUGC